UCCCGAUUAGCUCAGUCGGUAGAGCGUCAGACUUUUAAGCAAAGGUCUCCAAGAAGUUCUUGGUCUUGUUAUCUGAAUGUCAGGGGUUCGAGCCCCCUAUUGGGAG
rnacentral:tRNA from 2 species